GACGAACGCUGGCGGCGUGCUUAACACAUGCAAGUCGAACGGAGUGGCGAACGGGUGUGUAACACGUGGGUGACCUGCCCUGCACUUCGGGAUAAGCCUGGGAAACUGGGUCUAAUACCGGAUAGUGUGGGAUGGUCCCGCGGCCUAUCAGCUUGUUGGUGGGGUAAUGGCCUACCAAGGCGGCGUCGGGCAGCCGGCCUGGGAGGGUGGACGGCGACGUUGGUACUAAGACACGGCCCAGACUCCAACGGGGGGCAGCAGUGGGGAGUAUUGCACAGUGGGGGGGAGCGUGAUGAAGCGAAGCCGCGUGGGGGAUGUCGGCCUUCGGGUUGGAAACUCAUUACACCAUCGACGCGGUAGAUGGAGAAGAAGCACCGGCUAACUACGUGCCAGCAGCCGCGGUAAUUC
rnacentral:rRNA from 1 species